GAAUCUGCUCUGACAACAAUUUAAUGAAACGUUAAAUUGCUGACCAAGUCCUAAAGGAUGUGUGUGGCAACGAUAAGUGACGGGGAUAAUGGACUUUCUGGCCCAACUUGGCAGUGGGAAGUCUCGCAGAGUUUCUCGAGCAACUCCGGACAACUACUUAAGCAACCCUGCCAACUGCAGACAAACACCAAAUGCAUAACAUUUUCCCCACAACAUAAUUAAUCCGCCCAUUUUUCGGUUUUCUUCCCCUUUUCCUUCUCCUGGGGAAAUGUCAAUAGCACAAAAAUCGCGAACCGCGACUUGCGACGAGGCAAAUGGCAGAAAAUAUGCGAAAAACUACGGAGAAAAACGCCAAGAAAAGUAAAGUUUUUCCCUGUCGUCGCGGAGGAUAUUACAAAAUCCAUUAAAAUUCUAUUUCCUGCCAUCAAACUGCCCAAAGUUAAAUAAAGCGCCGCUCGGCCACGGGUAAAACUAGGGAAAGAAAACGAAAUAAUAAUAAUAAACGACAAACAGCAAGCGGCGAGCAAACAAACAAGCGGCAAAAAGUUUUCCCUUUUUCCUUUUCGGUGCUUUGCCUGGUGAAAAGGGGUAGUGGUGGGAGGAGGUUCACUGUAGAGCGGUCCUUGAGCUGUUCUUGAGCCACUUGGCAAUGCAGUCGAACGAGCGCUGACUGCAUUUUAAAGCAGCAACUUCGGAGGCAAUACAGAGGACAAAACUAAUAAGCCCAUGGAGUGGUCUGUCCCCCCAUCCACCCUCCACCCUGACGCAUUAUAAAGGUAUAAAGCGCAGUUAAUAAAGUUGCAAGUGGUCGUCAUCGUCAACCUUAUCGUCUAGCUCUGGUUAUGGCUCUGGUCCUGGUUGUGGAGUCUGGAGUCUGGUGAUCCGGAUUCGGAUCGUUCUGGGGCUCGACUCUCGACUUGACUUUAUUCUCUGGAAAUGCUGCAUCGUCGCUUAUUAAUCCCGAGUGCAAAUCCCCCACCCCGCUUGGUCGGUUCCGACUGUAAUGCCAAGCCAAGCAUCAAUAAAUGUUGUACAACCUCGAACUGUGGAAUGAGGGGUGCAGGGGGAACCAGUACUAGGGACC
rnacentral:lncRNA from 1 species